UCUGGGCCUUGGCAGAUACGGCAGAGACACCGUACAAGCAACGUAUAAUUAGUCUAAUGACAGUGCCGAGUGCUGUAGCUAUCCCGGAAGCUUGGAGAAGCGUCGUAAGAAUGGAGCACCAAUCAACCUAUGACCACAAUGCCCGUGGGAAUUUGGCUUCGAAAGCUCGUGACGCGUUUCAUCGUUCCUCUUCCAUUUCUACGCGCCUACCUGCACAGAGAAUACAUCCACCUCACGUACACUUGGGAAACGACGAACUGUAUCGUGGAGCGUGACUAAUUGUCAGCAAUAAUACCGGCGACUUAUCACACCGCCCUAAGUGUAAUAGCGAGCUAGGAAAGAUUUGCAGACUGUCUGGUGAUCCCAUGGUAAAAGAUGAAGAUUCCCUUUGUGAAGUAAUUUUAAUUCUAUAUACCAAUGACUCCACCUUAUUUAUCUCAAAACUGAACAAUGAAAAACGAACCGUUUGAUCUAUCUUUUAGUAAAGAUGAAAUAAGUAUAUCUUGAUAAUCAUCAGUUAAUUAAGACGAUUGGAAAGACAGUUCGAAGUUGCCAAAGGGGAGGAGGGAAGAGGAAGCAGGUUUUCUACCCUUUAGAAAGCAUCGUUCCAACUGCAUCUUCGUGGAUGGAAUUUAAAAGCGGAUGAGUGUAGUAAGUUUUCAGUUUUCUUCAGCUUCUGCCACGAUUUUCUCUCUUUUCUUUUCUUGUUUUCUCUCUUUCUCUUCUUCUUCUUCUUCUUCUUCUUCUUCUACUUCUUCUUCUUCUUCCUCUUCUCUUGGUCGAAGAGCACUGAGAGUCUGGACUUCCAUUAAUCGUGAAAGCAAUUAUUACGAGGGAAAGGUCAUGGGGCAGACUCUUAAUCGUUCUGAGGUGUGAAUGCUAAUGAGUCCGAAGAACAUGGAGCCAAGAUGCUCGUUGUCCGCACUUUCGAGAAAAAGAACGCUUGUGGCGAUCUUAUAGCCUGACCUUGAUUAAUGCUGAGAAUAAAUGUACUCGAAAUAUUUUAUACUAUAUAGGUACAGUCUAAUGCCUUCUUGGUAGAUUAUAUAUCACGUCAGAAUUGGAUACAGCCAAGAAGAUGAUUGCGAGUGUGGUGUCAUUAUAUAGUUGCAACUAUCACGCAGUUAAAGUUUCUUAUUCUUAUAUUAUAUGCGCACAUAUGUUCUACGUGCGUAGAACAUAUAUUUAUGCAUUAUAUGUAUAAGCAUUGAUAUUUUUCUUUUUUUUUUUUUUUUAGAUUAGAUUCAUCAUUGGUAACAACAUAAAUUGAAGAAAAGAAUUUUAUAAUUAGCACGCAUAAGUGGGUCAUUACCGUCUUUGUUAGCCAUGCGUGUCGAUUUUAUCUCUCUGUUCUUUUUAGGUAUGUAAAUCUUUUCUCUAGGGAAUAUUUAAUCGUUUGAGUAAGUUCUUCGAGAUAGUUAACAAUAAAAAAUUUACUAUGAAAUAACGUACUUCCAACGGAUAUUAAAGAAAUAUCAUACUUAUUUUUCUGAUUAGAAUCGGAUACAUGCGGUUUGUUGGUUUUCGAAUGAAUCUUUCAAAAUUUUUUUCAAUGUAACGAGACGUUACGAGACUAACCGAGAUGAUGCGAUUUCACGGCAAUCGAACAUCCAUACUAUAGCAUAGCGGAUCUUAAUAAUCCUAUUUCAUCCUUCAUCUGUUCUUUAUCGUAUCUAUAUCCAUAUUGAGUUUUACCAUUUUUUUCAUAACCAUACCGACUAAUAACAGAACGGAUUUGUAAGCUGAGAUGUAUGUACAUAAUCGGAUCUGUAGGUAUAACAUUAAUAUUCCAAAAAUGGAUAUUCAAGUGAAAAGUAUCGGCUUUAGAAUUAUGAAAGAAGCUAAGUAUGAAAUCGUCC